rnacentral:rRNA from 1 species
UGGGGAAUAUUGGACAAUGGGGGAAACCCUGAUCCAGCCAUGCCGCGUGUGUGAAGAAGGUCUUCGGAUUGUAAAGCACUUUAAGUUGGGAGGAAGGGGUGAAGUAACGACUCACCUUUCGUACGUUACCAACAGAAUAAGCACCGGCUAACUUCGUGCCAGCAGCCGCGGUAAUACGAAGGGUGCAAGCGUUAAUCGGAAUUACUGGGCGUAAAGCGCGCGUAGGUGGUUUAUCAAGUUGGAUGUGAAAUCCCUGGGCUCAACCUAGGAACUGCAUCCAAAACUGAUUGACUAGAGUAUAGUAGAGGUUAGUGGAAUUUCCUGUGUAGCGGUGAAAUUGCGUAGAUAUAGGAAGGAACACCAGUGGCGAAGGCGACUAACUGGACUAAUACUGACACUGAGGUGCGAAAAGCGUGGGGAGCAAACA